rnacentral:rRNA from 1 species
AUUGAACGCUGGCGGCAGGCCUAACACAUGCAAGUCGAGCGGUAGAGAGGUGCUUGCACCUCUUGAGAGCGGCGGACGGGUGAGUAAUGCCUAGGAAUCUGCCUGGUAGUGGGGGAUAACGUUCGGAAACGGACGCUAAUACCGCAUACGUCCUACGGGAGAAAGCAGGGGACCUUCGGACCUUGCGCUAUCAGAUGAGCCUAGGUCGGAUUAGCUAGUUGGUGAGGUAAUGGCUCACCAAGGCGACGAUCCGUAACUGGUCUGAGAGGAUGAUCAGUCACACUGGAACUGAGACACGGUCCAGACUCCUACGGGAGGCAGCAGUGGGGAAUAUUGGACAAUGGGCGAAAGCCUGAUCCAGCCAUGCCGCGUGUGUGAAGAAGGUCUUCGGAUUGUAAAGCACUUUAAGUUGGGAGGAAGGGUACUUACCUAAUACGUGAGUAUUUUGACGUUACCGACAGAAUAAGCACCGGCUAACUCUGUGCCAGCCGCCGCCGUAAUAC